rnacentral:tRNA from 3 species
GCCGGAGUAGCUCAACUGGCAGAGCAAUGCUUUCGUAAAGCAUAGGUUGUGGGUUCAAGACCCUCCUCCGGCU